rnacentral:rRNA from 1 species
AGGGUGGUAAAUUUCACCUAAGGCUAAAUAUAUGCAAGAGACCGAUAGCGAACAAGUACCGUGAGGGAAAGAUGAAAAGAACUUUGAAAAGAGAGUUAAAUAGUACGUGAAAUUGUUGAAAGGGAAACGAUUAAAGUCAGUCAUGUUGGUAGGGAAUCAACUUGAUGGUGUGCGGGUUUACUCGUGUUCUUUCGAGUGCACUUCCUUACUUACUAGUUAGCAUCAAUUUUGGUUAUCGUAUAAAAAUUGAGGGAAGGUGGCUUUUCUUCGGAAAAGUGUUAUAGACCUCAAGAAAUGUGGUGACCGGGAUUGAGGAUUGCAGCGGAUACCCUUUUGGGCUAGUCACCUGGCUUCUGAUGGUUACCCCGUCUUCGAUAGCUUGCUAACGUUGGUGGGAUUUAAUUAUCUAGAUGUUGGAGUGAUCAUAAAUUCGCUAAGGAUGCUGACGUAAUGGCUUUAAACGACCCGUCUUGAAACACGGACCAAGGAGUCUAACAUGUGUGCGAGUGUUUGGGUAUUAAAACCCGUAACGCGUAAUGAAAGUAAUUCUGGUGGGAACCCUUCUCGGGUGCACCAUCGACC